GCUACACAUGCAAGUCGUACGAAAACCGAGGGGCUUGCUCCUCGGGGAAAGUGGCGAACGGGUGAGUAACACGUGAGUAAUCUGCCCUUGAGUGGGGAAUAACUCCGCGAAAGCGGAGCUAAUACCGCAUAAUACUCUGGAGCACGAGCUUUCAGAGUCAAAGCCUUCGGGCUCUUAAGGAUGAGCUUGCGGCCUAUUAGCUAGUUGGUAGGGUAACGGCCUACCAAGGCAAUGAUGGGUAGCCGGCCUGAGAGGGUGUCCGGUCACACUGGAACUGCGACACGGUCCAGACUCCUACGGGAGGCAGCAGUGGGGAAUUUUGCGCAAUGGGCGAAAGCCUGACGCAGCGACGCCGCGUGGAGGAAUAAGGCCUUCGGGUUGUAAACUCCUGUCAGAGGUGAAGAAAGCCCUUCGGGGUUUGACGGUAACCUCAGAGGAAGCCCCGGCUAACUACGUGCCAGCAGCCGCGGUAAUACGUAGGGGGCGAACGUUGCUCGGAAUUACUGGGCGUAAAGGGUGUGUAGGUGGCUGUGCAAGUCAAAGAUGAAAUCCCGAGGCUCAACCUCGGAACUGUUUUUGAAACUGCUCAGCUUGAGGAUGGUUGAGGAAGACGGAAUUCCCGGUGGAGCGGUGAAAUGCGUAGAUAUCGGGAGGAACACCAGAGGCGAAGGCGGUCUUCUGAGCCAUUCCUGACACUGAGACACGAAAGCUAGGGGAGCAAACGGGAUUAGAUACCCCGGUAGUCCUAGCCGUAAACGAUGGGCACUAGAUGUUCCUGCUUUUUGUAGGAGUGUCGAAGUUAACGCGUUAAGUGCCCCGCCUGGGGAGUACGGUCGCAAGGCUGAAACUCAAGGAAUUGACGGGGGCCCGCACAAGCGGUGGAGCAUGUGGGUUUAAUUCGACGCAACGCGAAAACCUUACCUGGGCUUGAACAUUCUGGGAGUAAGA
rnacentral:rRNA from 1 species